rnacentral:lncRNA from 1 species
AACGCCAUUUUGUACGGAAGCUACUGGGGCAGGUGAUGCCUACCCAGUCUCUCUCCUCUGUUGAACAAAGGAUCUGUUAAAAUUGGAAGGGCUUAACGUCUUCUUCAGAAAAGUGACGCAUUUGUUACUGGGAUGGUAAGGUUCAGCAAAGUCUAUGUCAUUCUCUAAUCCUUUUGAUCCAGCGGAUUCUUUGGAGGAAUUUGAAUACAUAUUGGAUUUUGCAUCCAGGUUUGCAAGAGGAAAAUACAAAGGUGACUUCUGGGCCUGCUGGAGGUGGAGGGUAGAGGAUGGACAGCUGACAUCUAGUCACAGAGGAAAGAACACAGAAAGAGAUCUCCAGUUAAAGCUGAUAGAUUGAACCACAGACAACCCACCUCCUUCUAAAAUCCCUCUAGAACAAUGGUUUAAAAAAAGUGCUUUAACAUAAAACUUCAAAAUCAAAAAGAUAAGGAAAAUGAUGAAAACCACUCAGAUAAGAAGAGAGGAUAUUUAUGCAGAGGCUGCUGUCGUUGGGAGUCCGCCACCAUACCACUAUACUUUGGUGAGACUUGAAGGCAGG